GCGGUUUGUGGAGCGGCAGGCUGUGGUCCCUGUGGAAGAUGCGCCAGCCCGGACGGGGGUUGGAUGCGCGACCCUGCAGGUGCAUUUCAGAGGCCUCCAGACG